GUCAGGUGUGGUGGUGCAUGCCUGUAAUCCCAGCUGCUCAGGAAGCUGAAGCAGGAGGAUCACGAGUUCAAAGCCAGCCUCAGCAACUUAGUGAGAACCUGUAUCUA
rnacentral:sRNA from 1 species